rnacentral:rRNA from 1 species
AACGUAGGUACCGAGCGUUAUCCGGAUUUACUGGGCGUAAAGCGUGUGCAGGUGGUCGUGCAAGUCGGGCAUGAAAGCUCCUGGCUCAACUAGGAGAAGCUGUCUGAUACUGCAGGACUUGAGGGCUCGAGAGGGCGAUGGAAUUCCGCAUGUAGUGGUGAAAUGCGUAGAUAUGUGGAGGAACACCAGUGGCGAAGGCGACUCUCUGGUCUGUAACUGACGCUGAGGCGCGAAAGCGUGGGGAGCAAACAGG